GCUCGAGUGGCGAACGGGUGAGUAACACGUGAGUAACCUGCCCUUGACUUUGGGAUAACUUCAGGAAACUGGGGCUAAUACCGGAUAGGAGCUCCUGCUGCAUGGUGGGGGUUGGAAAGUUUCGGCGGUUGGGGAUGGACUCGCGGCUUAUCAGCUUGUUGGUGGGGUAAUGGCUUACCAAGGCUUUGACGGGUAGCGGCCUGAGAGGGUGACCGGCCACAUUGGGACUGAGAUACGGCCCAG
rnacentral:rRNA from 1 species